rnacentral:rRNA from 1 species
CCUACGGGAGGCUGCAGUGAGGAAUAUUGGUCAAUGGACGGAAGUCUGAACCAGCCAUGCCGCGUGCAGGAAGACGGCUCUACGAGUUGUAAACUGCUUUUGUACAAGGGUAAACCUGAAUACGUGUAUUCAGCUGAAAGUACUGUACGAAUAAGGAUCGGCUAACUCCGUGCCAGCAGCCGCGGUAAUACGGAGGAUCCGAGCGUUAUCCGGAUUUAUUGGGGUUAAAGGGUGCGUAGGCGGGUUGAUAAGUUAGAGGUGAAAUGUUCGGGCUUAACUCGGGAACUGCCGCUAAUACUGGUGAUCUAGAGAGUAGAUGCGGUAGGCGGAAUGUAUGGUGUAGCGGUGAAAUGCUUAGAGAUCAUACAGAACACCGAUUGCGAAGGCAGGUGACCAGUCUAUAUCUGACGUUGAGGCACGAAAGCGUGGGGAGCAAACAGGAUUAGAUACCCUUGUAGUC